rnacentral:rRNA from 1 species
CGAGCGGGGGGAGUAACAUUCCGAAAGGAGUGCUAAUACCGCAUAAGACCACGUCCUCGAAAGAGGAUGAGGUAAAAGCAGGCCUCUAUAUAUAAGCUUGCACUCUAGGACGGGCCCGCGGCCCAUCAGCUAGUUGGCAGGGUAAUGGCCUACCAAGGCGAAGACGGGUAGCUGGUCUGAGAGGAUGAUCAGCCACACUGGAACUGAGACACGGUCCAG